GAUGAACGCUGACAGAAUGCUUAACACAUGCAAGUCAACUUGAACUUCGGUUUGGGUGGCGGACGGGUGAGUAACGCGUAAAGAACUUGCCUCACAGUUAGGGACAACAUUAGGAAACGAAUGCUAAUACCUGAUAUUAUGAUUUUAGGGCAUCCUAGAAUUAUGAAAGCUAUAUGCGCUGUGAGAGAGCUUUGCGUCCCAUUAGCUAGUUGGAGAGGUAACGGCUCACCAAGGCGAUGAUGGGUAGCCGGCCUGGGAGGGUGAACGGCCACAAGGGGACUGAGACACGGCCCUUACGCCUACGGGAGGCAGCAGUGGGGAAUAUUGGACAAUGGACCAAGAGUCUGAUCCAGCAAUUCUGUGUGCACGAUGAAGUUUUUCGGAAUGUAAAGUGCUUUCAGUUGGGAAGAAAAAAAUGACGAUACCAACAGAAGAAGUGACGGCUAAAUACGUG
rnacentral:rRNA from 1 species